AUUGAACGCUGGCGGCAUGCUUUACACAUGCGAGUCGAACGGCAGCGAGGAGAAGCUUGCUUCUCUGUCGGCGAGUGGCGAACGGGUGAGUAUAGCAUCGGAACGUGCCAAGUAGUGGGGGAUAACCAAACGAAAGUUUGGCUAAUACCGCGUAAGCUCUAAGGAGGAAAGUAGGGGACCUAAAUAAGGCCUUACGCUAUUUGAUCGGCCGAUGUCGGAUUAGCUAGUUGGUGGGGUAAUGGCUCACCAAGGCAAUGAUCCGUAGCGGGUCUGAGAGGACGAUCCGCCACACUGGGACUGAGACACGGCCCAGACUCCUACGGGAGGCAGCAGUGGGGAAUUUUUGACAAUGGGGGAAACCCUGAUCCAGCCAUGCCGCGUGUAUGAAGAAGGCCUUAGGGUUGUAAAGUACUUUUGUUAGGGAAGAAAAGCUAGUUUUUAAUAAAAAUUAGUGAUGACGGUACCUAAAGAAUAAGCACCGGCUAACUACGUG
rnacentral:rRNA from 1 species